rnacentral:rRNA from 1 species
UACGGAGGGGGCAAGCGUUAUUCGGAAUCAUUGGGCGUAAAGGGCGUGUAGGCGGCCUUGUGUGUCUUAUGUGAAAGCCCUCGGCUCAACCGGGGAACUGCAUGGGAAACUGCGAGGCUUGAGUCCGGGAGAGGAGAGUGGAAUUCCCAGUGUAGCGGUGAAAUGCGUAGAUAUUGGGAGGAACACCAGUGGCGAAGGCGGCUCUCUGGACCGGUACUGACGCUGAGGCACGAAGGCCAGGGGAGCAAACGGG